GUAUUCCCACAGGAUUGGAUGCGUCACCAGCUUCAGGAGAGAGGCCAUUGUUGUCUCUCUGAUCACUGUGAAAGAUACAGAACAAAGGGAUCAGUGUUAAAUGAAGUGUGCUCACCUUGGUACCAGCUGUUGCAGAUUGUGGCAGAGGGACUGUAUGAACCAGGAUCCCUUUUCCUUUUCCCUGAAUGAGACAUAGGAUGGUACAGUGGACAUGGCUAACAGGCCUGGAUGAAGAACAGUUUGGGUUUCUGGUAGAGGGAGGAGCACUGAUAUGGACUCAGAGUCUCUAUCAGCUCUUUAAAGGUGACAGUCUUUCCAUCUACCCCGACGACACCGUCUUCCCGUCCGUGGCUUAGCACGCAGCACACCAC